rnacentral:ncRNA from 1 species
GAGUUUGAUGAUGGCUCUGAAUGAACGCUAUUCAAAUGCCUGACACAUGCUAAUCGUACGUUUGUAGUUUAACAAUUGUUAACUACAAAAGUGGUGUACAGGUGAGUAAAUGGUGAAUUGGUUACCUUAAAGUGAGGGAUAAAAUACCUUAUAACAAAAGGAGUAAUCUGCUUUAAGAUAUUAGUUGUAUCUCGGGUAGGUAGUAGGAGAGGUAAUUGCUCAACUAGCCUAAUAUCCCGUAGUCGAGGCUGAAAGGUCGAUCGACCACAUUGGAUAUGAACAAAAUUCAAUGCAUGAUAGUACAGCAGUGAGGGAUAUUGGUCAAUAGCCGAAAGGCUGAACCAGCAAUUUGAAAGAAUGGCCUUCCGGUCUUAGCCGGUUUGAGGGGGGAUAGAUUAUAUGUAAGAAAUUAUGUAUAAAGGGGUCCAAGCCUUAGGUCAAAAGCCUAGGAUUAAAGUUCUGAAUAGAAUAAUGAUAAUGACAAUUUUCUAAUUCAAGUGUCUUGACAAAUUCAUGUGCCAGCAGUCGCGGUAAUACAUGAUAGACUAGUGUUAUUCAUCUUUAAUGGGUUUAAAGGGUACCUAGACGGAAGUUCAAGCCUGCGAGGGGACUGAAUUUCUAGAGUUUUAUGUGAGAAGGGGAGUACUACUGAUGGAGAGAUGAAAUUUGAUGAUAUCUUUAGGACUGGUAAAGGCGAAGGCAACCUUUUAAGUAAAAACUGACGUUGAGGGACGAAGGCUUAGGUCACGAACAGGAUUAGAUACCCUAGUAGUCUUUGCAGAAAACGCUGAAUGCUAUAGGUUAGAAUUAAAAUUUUUGCCUAUAAAUGAAAAUGUAAGCAUUCCACC